rnacentral:tRNA from 1 species
GCCCGGAUAGCCUGUGUCGGUAGAGCAGGGAUUGAAAAAUCCUCGUGUCCUGGUUCGAUUCCGAGUCCGGGCACCA